CCCCUCUUCAGACAAAAUAUCACUGGAAUGAGUAUCCUAUAAAUGCAGAGCUUCGACACACGAAGAACGAAAUAUAGAACUUGGCGAAGGGAUAAGAAAGAAUAAGAUGAUUCAGUAACCACAUUUCACUGCCCAACUUACACAGUGCUGCAUGAGACUGGAAGAUGAUUAUGAAUUCUGGAUAGUUAAAGAUAUGAAAGGAGGCUGUCAUACCAAAGGAAACGGUCGAUAAAAUUCAUGAUUCGUACGCGAGA